UUAUGUUUCUAUAGUUCUAAUAGAGAGUUUCUAUAGUUCUAAAGAUAUGUCUUAUUUCUAAUAGAGAUAUGUUUCUAUAGUUCUAAUAGAGAUAUGUUUCUAUAGUUCUAAUAGAGAUAUGGUUUCCAUAGCCUCUAUAGAGAUGUUUCUAUAGCUCUAAUAGAGAUGUUUCUAUAGCUCUAAUAGAGAUGUUUCUAUAGUUCUAAUAGAGAUAUGUUUCUAUAGUUCUAAUAGAGAUAUGUUUCUAUGUUCUAAUAGAGAUAUUGUUCUAUAG
rnacentral:lncRNA from 1 species